rnacentral:snRNA from 1 species
UCACUUUAGCACUGUAUAUACUAAAAUUGGAACGGUACAGAGAUUAGCAUGGCCCUGUUCAAGGGUGACAUGUAGAUUCAUGGCGCAUCUCACACCAAU